rnacentral:rRNA from 1 species
AUAUGGUAGGAGAGCGUUCUGUAAGCCUGCGAAGGUGUCUUGUAAAGGAUGCUGGAGGUAUCAGAAGUGCGAAUGCUGACAUGAGUAGCGAUAAUGGGGGUGAAAAGCCUCCACGCCGUAAGCCCAAGGUUUCCUGUUCAACGUUCAUCGGAGCAGGGUGAGUCGGCCCCUAAGGCGAGGCAGAGAUGCGUAGCUGAUGGGAAGCAGGUUAAUAUUCCUGCACCGUCGUAUGAUGCGAUGGGGGGACGGAUCGCGGAAGGUUGUCUGACUGUUGGAAUAGUCAGUUUCUGUCUCAUAGAAGGCGCUUAGGCAAAUCCGGGCGCAGGAUUCAAGGGGAUGGGACGAGUGAACUUGUUCACGAAGCAAUCGGAAGUGGUUCCAAGAAAAGCCUCUAAGCUUCAGUCAUACGAGACCGUACCGCAAACCGACACAGGUGGGCGAGAUGAGUAUUCUAAGGCGCUUGAGAGAACUCGGGAGAAGGAACUCGGCAAAUUGGUACCGUAACUUCGGGAAAAGGUACGCCCCGGUAGCUUGAUUGGUUUACUCCAUGAGGGUGAAAGGGUUGCAAUAAACUGGUGGCUGCGACUGUUUAAUAAAAACACAGCACUCUGCAAACACGAAAGUGGACGUAUAGGGUGUGACGCCUGCCCGGUGCUGGAAGAUUAAAUGAUGGGGUGCAAGCUCUUGAUUGAAGUCCCAGUAAACGGCGGCCGUAACUAUAACGGUCCUAAGGUAGCGAAAUUCCUUGUCGGGUAAGUUCCGACCUGCACGAAUGGCGUAACGAUGGCCACACUGUCUCCUCCCGAGACUCAGCGAAGUUGAAAUGUUUGUGAUGAUGCAAUCUACCCGCGGCUAGACGGAAAGACCCCAUGAACCUUUACUGUAGCUUUGCAUUGGACUUUGAACCAAUCUGUGUAGGAUAGGUGGGAGGCUUUGAAGCGGGGACGCUAGUUCUCGUGGAGCCAACCUUGAAAUACCACCCUGGUUUGUUUGAGGUUCUAACCUUGGUCCGUUAUCCGGAUCGGGGACAGUGCAUGGUAGGCAGUUUGACUGGGGCGGUCUCCUCCUAAAGUGUAACGGAGGAGUUCGAAGGUACGCUAGAUACGGUCGGACAUCGUGUUGAUAGUGCAAUGGCAUAAGCGUGCUUAACUGCGAGACUGACAAGUCGAGCAGGUACGAAAGUAGGACAUAGUGAUCCGGUGGUUCUGUAUGGAAGGGCCAUCGCUCAACGGAUAAAAGGUACUCUGGGGAUAACAGGCUGAUUCCUCCCAAGAGUUCAUAUCGACGGGGGAGUUUGGCACCUCGAUGUCGGCUCAUCACAUCCUGGGGCUGUAGCCGGUCCCAAGGGUAUGGCUGUUCGCCAUUUAAAGUGGUACGUGAGCUGGGUUUAAAACGUCGUGAGACAGUUUGGUCCCUAUCUGCCGUGGGCGUUGGAAAUUUGAAGGGGGCUGCUCCUAGUACGAGAGGACCGGAGUGGACGAACCUCUGGUGUACCGGUUGUCACGCCAGUGGCAUUGCCGGGUAGCUAAGUUCGGAAGAGAUAACCGCUGAAAGCAUCUAAGCGGGAAACUUGCCUUGAGAUGAGAUUUCCCAGAGCCUUGAGCUCUUUGAAGGGUCGUUCGAGACCAGGACGUUGAUAGGCUGGGUGUGGAAGUGCAGUAAUGCAUUAAGCUAACCAGUACUAAUUGCCCGUACGGCUUGUCCCU